rnacentral:sRNA from 1 species
CACGAGGCAACAGUGAUUCUCCUCGGCGCCGCUGCGAAGCAUUUGAAUAAGGAUGACCCCAAUGUCAAGUCUAUCAUGGAAAGUUUGGUCACUUCACUCAGCACCC